rnacentral:rRNA from 1 species
UACAGAGGUCCCAAGCGUUGUUCGGAUUCAUUGGGCGUAAAGGGCGCGUAGGCGGCGCGGUAAGUCACUUGUGAAAUCUCUGAGCUUAACUCAGAACGGCCAAGUGAUACUGCAGUGCUAGAGUGUGGAAGGGGCAAUCGGAAUUCUUGGUGUAGCGGUGAAAUGCGUAGAUAUCAAGAGGAACACCUGAGGUGAAGACGGGUUGCUGGGCCAACACUGACGCUGAGGCGCGAAAGCCAGGGGAGCAAACGGG